UCUGUCAGAUUUGGCAUGUUGGAAGAGUUUCAAAUUCAGGUAUAUCAUGUUUAUUUCAUCAUAUCAUUAUUUAUUAUGAAAAUAAAAGUUGGAGUGAGCUGAAGGUCUAACCAUCAAUGUCAACCCAAAUUGGUUAAGAUCAUCAAUUUUUAACAUAGACCUAGCAUAAUUUUAGCAUUACCUAGCUCAAAUAUAACAUGAUUUUUAAGCAUCAAUCAAAUAACUUAGGUCUACCAUCAUUGACAGUAAACCGAAGAUGAUUUGGGUUUGAGGUUGUUAUUAUUGAGAAUUACUAUCAAGGUGUAACCACUUUCUAAUGUUUUAAGGUCUACUCACAUUUAUGCAAAUAGAAUACUCACUCAAUGUAUGUUCAUGUUUUUUCCUUGUGAAUCGAAUAGUUUAUCAGCCAAAUGGACAAGCACCGAUAUCUUCUACGGACAAGUCACUCACAAGCAAUGAUGUACAACAAUUCACGAAACCGAGACGGCUAAGCACAGAUGAAAUUCCUCAUAUUGUCAAUGAUUUCAGACUUGCUGCAAGAAAUGCUAUUGAAGCUGGUAAGUUUACAGGUUUUUACAAAUUUUGUCUAAAAUUGAAAAAUGCCAUAGUACAAUAUUGAUAUUUUUUCAGAAACAUGACUAUUUGUUGCUUUAAAGCACAAGGACAUUUUUCAAAUCUCCUAACAUAAUCAAUGUGGUGCAAAUUGAAGGUUUUGAUGGAGUUGAAAUCCAUGGAGCUCAUGGCUACCUACUUGAACAAUUCAUGAAAGAUAAAGUGAAUGACAGAACAGAUGAAUACGGUGGAUCCCUCGAGAAUCGUUGUCGAUUUCCUUUGGAAGUUGUUGAAGCAGUUGUGAAUGAGAUAGGAGCAGAUAAAGUUGGAAUUAGACUAUCACCUUUUGCAGAAUAUGCAGAAAGCGGAGACUCCAAUCCCAAUGAAUUGGGACUUCAUAUGGUUAAUGCCCUCAAUAAGUACAAUAUUCUUUACUGUCACAUGGUGGAACCAAGAAUAAAAUCAGCUUCUGAAACGAUUGAAAGCCCUUACAGUCUGGUGCCAAUGAGAAAGGCUUUCAAUGGCUCUUUCAUGGCUGCAGGAGGCUAUGACAGACAAGACGGGAUCGAUGCUAUAGCUGAAAACAAGGCAGAUCUUGUAGUUUAUGGUCGUUUGUUCUUAGCAAAUCCAGAUUUGCCAAAGAGAUUUGCACUUAAUGCUCCUCUCAACAAGUAUAAUAGGGAGACAUUCUACAUUUCUGAUCCGGUUGUUGGUUACACUGACUAUCCCUUUCUUGAAUGAAGAAAACAAUGUUGUAUUGCAGCAUCCAAGGGUGGACCUCCAUAUUAAUAAGUUGUUUUUCUUCUUAUACAUUGGUUUUGCAGUGAAUUUGGUCACUUAAUUAAGAAUUUUGUUAAUUAUAGACAUAGUUAUAUUUUUUAUUCAUUCUUCUCAUACUAGCUUCUCUGCUAGGACACACAGUGUGUAGAACCAUUAUGUACCUGAUUUUUGUAAUACCAUUUGAGCUUUGUGUUAAUGAAAAGGAUUGUUGUAGUAACCAAAUUUUUUUAAUUGCUAUGCUAUGGUAACUACCGUGAUACUAAGAAUUGACAUUGUUAUUGAUUUUGAAAAUAUCUGUAGUGAAUUUGAUUCCUGAUUUACUCGGUUGAACCACAAAAUCUUCAAAUCGAAGCCUAAUUCAAGUACUUUCAAGUAUUGUUUCAACUUGAGAUAUAAUUCAGGUACUACUGAUUGUUUCGGUUUGAUAAGAAUCUUAUCAAUGUCAUGGUAACACCGCUAAACGGUGGUUGAAGCUUCGCACCUAUGGCAUGGUAACAAAAAAUAAGAAAAAGAACAAUCAUGGAAGGUUUACGAUCCCUUUCUUCGAAGGGGAAAAUAUGAAAGACCUGUGCUAUUAUAAUUUGUUAUGAAAAAUUUUGGUUUUGACUGACUGUAGAAGAGUCGUGCCAUGUAGAAUUUUUACAUUUCUUGUCCAAGUCUAACGAUAAGAAUUUUUCAAUAUGAAAACGAUAUAUACCAGUAAUGAAAGGAAAGGUCAGCAAAAAGCAUAAAUGCUGAUACUACUUUCCAGUUUUUAUAGUAUAUAAAAACAUAUCCUCCAACUUCGUAUUCAAGUGUAUAAGAAAAGUGUAUAUUUUCCUCAUUAUAUAUCAGUAUCAGUUCAUAAUUGAUUAACUAAUCAAAUGGAAAUUAUGGUUGGUGAUCCCAUUCCUCUUCUUACUCCUUACAAGAUGGGCAAAUUCAAUCUAUCUCAUAGGUAUAUAAUAUGUUUUAAUUCCAUUUAUUAUGCUUGCUUCAAACAUAUAUAAAGUUGUUUAAAAUAUUCACUACUCAUCCUAUUCAUUUGAUUUUAGAGUAGUUUUGGCACCGUUGACCAGACAAAGAUCAUACAACAACAUUCCUCAACAGCAUGCUGUCCUAUAUUACUCUCAAAGGGCCUCUGAAGGUGGUCUUCUCAUAUCUGAAGCUACCGGGGUCUCUGAAACUGCUCAAGGGUAACUUGCAAUUAAUACAAACCAAUUUCAUAACUAUCUUUAACAAACUUCAACUAAUUAAUUCUAAUGUUAUAUAUGUGAAGGUCUUCAAACACACCUGGCAUAUGGACAAAAGAGCAAGUCGAAGCGUGGAAACCUAUCGUGGAUGCUGUUCAUGCCAAAGGUGCUACAUUCUUCGAUCAAAUUUGGCUUGUUGGUAGGGUUUCUAAUUCUGGUAUGCAUUUAGUUUAAUCAAAUUAGCAAUUAACUAACAAAUUUUUUGAUUUUUCAGUAUUUUUUUAGGUAGGAAUUGAAUUUUUGUUACAGAAUGAUAUUGAUUUAUGUUCACUAGUUUAAUUACAAAUUUACAUGUAUGUAUUCUACACAUUUAUUAUACACAUGUAAUAUUGUAUUCUCAUUUUCCAUAUAAUUCUAACCAGUUUAUCAACCAAAUGGACAAGCACCAAUAUCUUCUACAGACAAACUACUCACACCACGAAUUGGAGGCAAUGGUAUUGAAAUAUCACAAUUCACACCACCAAGGAGGCUAAGAUCAGAAGAAAUUCCUAAUAUUGUCAAUGACUUUAGACUUGCUGCAAGAAAUGCUAUUGAAGCUGGUAACUUCACCUAUCUUUACCAAUCUCUCCAAAAAUUCAAAAUGCUUCAAUAUAAGAGAGGCCGGAAUAACAACAUAAACUAAAUACGAAGAAAAAAAUCACAAAAUCCGAUGUCUCUAAGUUUUCAUCGUUAUUUUAACAUUUUAUAUCAGGAAGGCAUUUUGUGUACUAAUUAUGGUGCGCAUUGUAGUUUUGAUGGGGUUGAAAUUCGUGGGGCUACUGGAUACCUACUUGAGCAAUUCAUGAAAGAUAAAGUGAAUGACAGAACAGAUGAAUAUGGUGGAACUCUUGAAAACCGUUGUAAAUUUGUUUUGGAAAUUGUUGAAGCUGUUGUAAAUGAGAUUGGUGCCGAAAGAGUUGGAAUAAAACUAUCACCUUUUUCAGAUUUCGAAGAAUGUGGAGACUCAAAUCCGAAGGCAUUGGGGCUUUACAUGGUUAAUGCCCUCAAUAAAUAUGGUAUUCUGUAUUGUCAUAUGGUAGAAUGAAUAAGUAAUGAAACUAUUGAUGAUAAAACAAAAUGUCUUCACAACUUGGUGCCAGUGAGAAAGGCUUUCAAUGGCACUUUCAUGGUUACCGGAAGCUAUGAAAGACUAGACGGGAUCAAUGCUAUAGCUGAAAAUAGGGUAGAUCUUGUUGCUUACGACCGUUUAUUCAUAGCUAAUCCAGAUUUGCCAAAGAGAUUUGCACUUAAUGCUCCCCUAAACAAGUAUAAUAUGGAGACAUUCUGCACUUCUGAUCCAGUUCUUGGUUAUACCGACUACCCUUUUCUUGAAUGAAUAAACAUAUGUUGUACUUGUAGCAUGUAAGGGUGGCCACAUUUUUGCAAUAAAGUUGGUAAUUGAAUGUUUGAAUUGAUGGUGGAUUUUCAGAAUCAUAAUGAAUAAUCGUGAUUCAGAUAAAAACUACACUUUUUAAUAUCAACUAAAUCACGGUGUUGUCACAAUUUGACCUAACUCACCGCACAUUUCAACAUGCAUUUGGCCCUUAUAUAGCCUUUUACACACUUUCUUACACUACAAGUAAACUUCUAAUUGCAAUGAAUCCUAAUAAAAUCCUCCCCUAAACUGAAUACUGCUAUAGCAGAUCAGUUUACACAAGCAACAACAAAUCAAUCUAGGAGGAUUCACGUAGUGGUAAAAAGAAACAUAGAAUAUGUUCUUACUGUGAGGAAAAAUGAUUGUACAUUCAUUGAAAUGUGAAAUACAAAGAAUGAUACUUAUUUAUAGUAAAGUAUCUAAGUAAUUAGAGUUGUCUUGCAUUGCAAGUAACCUCUACUAAACAAGCCCUAAUUACACUAAAACAUUAUUGAAACUUAAGCACAAAAUAUAAACCUUCUAACACUUACAUCACAUGAGUCAAAUUGGACUGCUAAUUAAGGUCAAAGGCAAGAAUGCAACGUAACAGCAAACGUUAGCAAGAGCCAAGAAGCAUAAAGGCCCACAACCUCUUUCAUAGCCAUAUUAUUUCAACAUCAAAAUAAGUGCAGUACUAUACUAGGGUUCACACUUCAACCUUACACACAUAAUACAAUGUCCUAUCAAUUGAUUUAAGUUCAUGUAUCAAAAAACUAACACUUUACAUGUUUAUUUUUAUUUCUCUCUUGCUUUUUAUCUUUAAAUUUUUACACAUAUUUUAAAAUAUACUCGACACAAUCCUGUAUUUGAUAACAAUAUUUUUAUACUCAAUCAUUUUUCGUCAAGUUUUAGUAUAAUAUAUUUCAUUUACUUUGGUUACUUCAAAGUUCAAACAUAUAAAAUUGUUUAAAAUAUCCACUAACCCUGUGUGUCUAUGUCUAAUAAUAUAUUAAUUUUAAUUUUAGAGUACUUUUGGCACCAUUGACCAGACAAAAAUAGUAAUAGUACAACAACGUUCCUAAAAAACAUGACAUCCUCUAUUACUCUCAAAGGUCCUUUAAAGUCGGUCUUCUCAUAGCAGAAGCAGCCGGGGUCUCUGAAACUUGCUAACAACACUCUUCAAUUUCUUUAUUCCUCUUCAUGCUUUGAUCAAGACAAAGAUUAGUCUUAUAAGCCAAUUCCAUCGCUUUCAUACCUUAAAACUCAAAUCCAUCGCUUUCAUAUAGCCGGCUAAAUUGUUUUUAAUUACGCAAUCACGUUACCAAGAUGAAGCACAAACGUGGAGAUUUGACUUUUCACAACUUACUUAUCAAUAAGACAAAAAAGAAUAUCCACUUCCGGAACAUAUCAUAUAAAGUAAGUAGUGAUGUUCAAAAUGAAACAAACCCAAUAUAAAAAUUGCAAAUCAAACUAAUCUAAAUCGAAAUUGCAAAAAACUGCAUUUGAUUUGGAUGUAUUUUGAUCACUUUCUUACUUAACUACAUGGUUUGGUUUGGUUUGGAUUUUAUUUCAAAAGUCAAUCGGACCAAACCAAACCGCAUGUUUUUUUAUCUUAUGUUUGGAUGAUUUUUAUUCUCAAAGCCGAACCAAACCAAACCGCGAACCGCUGGUAUAAAUAUAGAUCCACCAAACGAACUCCCUUCAACUUGAACCGCAUAUUUUUCAUCAAAAGAGGGAGAAAAAAAAUUGAACUUCAUAUUUUGCCUUUUGAACUGUUAGUGAUCAUUGUAAUUUAUUUAAAUGGGUAUCAAAAUGGAAGGUACUAACAUCACUGAUCCAAUUCCUCUUCUUACACAUUACAAGAUGGGCAAAUUCAAUCUAGCUCAUAGGUACAUAGUAUUUCUCUUGCUAUUAGAAUUCAUUUCAAUGUUUUUCUCUUGCUAAAUAAUUUCACAUAAUUUCAGAGUUGUUUUGGCACCGCUAACAAGAAUGAGAUCAUACAACAAUGUUCCUCAAACCAUUGCUGUCGAGUAUUAUUCUCAGAGAACCUCUAAAGGAGGCCUUCUCAUAGCUGAAGCUACUGGUGUCUCAGACACUGCUCAAGGCUAUCCAAACACGCCAGGUAUAUGGACUAAAGAGCAUGUUGAGGCGUGGAAACCUAUUGUAAAUGCGGUUCAUGAUAAAGGCGGUAUAUUUUUCUGUCAAAUUUGGCAUGCUGGAAGGGUUUCAAAUUCAGGUAUGUAUCUAUUUCGUCAUAUCAUUAUUUAUUAUGUAAAUAAAUGUGACCGGAAGGUCUAACCAUCUGUGUCAACCUCAAUUGGCUAAGAUCAUCAAUUUUUAACAUAGACCUAGCAUAAUUUUAGCAUUACCUAGCUCAAAUAUAACAUGCUCAAAGGCGGUAUAUUUUUCUGUCAAAUUUGGCAUGUUGGAAGAGUUUCAAAUUCAGCUAUUUAUUUAUUUGCUCUAAUCAUUAGUAUUUUUUUUUUCCUUUGAUAAAAAUAAAAUUUUGAUUAGGUGACACACUUCCAAUUCAAAACUGGUGUGAACGGAAUGUUUAACUAUAUGUGCCUACACCAAUUGGUUCAAAUCAUCAGCUUUUAUUUAACAUAGACCUAUUAUGAGUUUAACAG
rnacentral:lncRNA from 1 species